GACGAACGCUGGCGGCGUGCCUAAUACAUGCAAGUAGAACGCUAGGAAACACACUGUCUUCUCACACUGUGUUUUCUUGAGUCGCGUACCGCUUAGUUACGCGUCGUUAACCUGCCUAUUAGCGGUGGAUAACUAUUGCUAACGCUACCUAAUACCGCAUAAUAUUUAUUAUUUCCUUAAAAUUUAUUAUAGCAUCCCUACCCAUCGCUCGUACAUGGUCUUGCGUUGUAUUAGCUAGUUGGUAAGGUAAGAGCUUACCAAGGCGACGAUACAUAGCCGACCUGAGAGGGUGAUCGGCCACACUGGGACUGAGACACGGCCCAGACUCCUACGGGAGGCAGCAGUAGGGAAUCUUCGGCAAUGGACGAAAGUCUGACCGAGCAACGCCGCGUGAGUGAAGAAGGUUUUCGGAUCGUAAAGCUCUGUUGUAAGAGAAGAACGUGUGUGAGAGUGGAAAGUUCACAAAGUGACGGUAGCUUACCAGAAAGAGACGGCUAACUACGUG
rnacentral:rRNA from 1 species